AGGUCUGACCUGCCCACUGAAAUUAUUUUAAAUGGCCGCAGUAAUUUGACUGUGCAAAGGUAGCAUAAUCAUUAGUUUUUUAAUUAAAAGCUUGUAUGAAGGGUUGGACGAGAUAAAAUCUGUCUCUAUUUAAUUUAUUAUAAAAUUUAAUUUUUAAGUUAAAAAGCUUAAAUUUUUUUAAAAGACGAGAAGACCCUAUAGAUCUUUAUAGUUUUGAUUUUGAAUUUAAUUAAUAAAUUUUUAGGAUUUAUGAUUUAAACUAUUUUAUUGGGGUAAUAGAAAGAUUAAAAUAAUUCUUUUUUUCUUUAAACAUUUAUUUAUGUUUUUAAUGAUCCAAUUUUAUUGAUUAUAAGAUUAAGUUACCUUAGGGAUAACAGCGUAAUUUUUUUAGAGAGUUCUUAUCGAUAAAAAAGUUUGCGACCUCGAUGUUGGAUUAAAGAUUAGUUUAGGUGUAGAAGUUUAAAUUUUUGGUCUGUUCGACCAUUAAAUCUUUACAUGAUCUGAGUUCAGACCGGCGUAAGCCAGGUCGGUUUCUAUCUUUAAUAAUUUUAAAAUAUUUUAGUACGAAAGGACCAAAUAUUUAAUAUAUUUAUAUUUAAUUUUUUGAAUAUUAUUAAAAAUUAUUUUGGCAGAAUAGUGCAAUGAAUUUAGAAUUCAUAAAUGUAAUUUUAUUACAAAUAAUACUUGUUUUUUUUAGAUGUAAUUUUCUCUUUAGUGUGUAUAUUUUUAUUAAUUAUUUGUGUUUUAGUUGGGGUUGCUUUUUUAACAUUA
rnacentral:rRNA from 1 species